rnacentral:rRNA from 1 species
GAUGAACGCUGGCGGCGUGCCUAAUACAUGCAAGUCGAGCGGACGGACGAGAAGCUUGCUUCUCUGAUGUUAGCGGCGGACGGGUGAGUAACACGUGGAUAACCUACCUAUAAGACUGGGAUAACUUCGGGAAACCGGAGCUAAUACCGGAUGAUAUUUUGAACCGCAUGGUUCAAAAGUGAAAGACGGUCUUGCUGUCACUUAUAGAUGGAUCCGCGCUGCAUUAGCUAGUUGGUAAGGUAACGGCUUACCAAGGCAACGAUGCAUAGCCGACCUGAGAGGGUGAUCGGCCACACUGGAACUGAGACACGGUCCAGACUCCUACGGGAGGCAGCAGUAGGGAAUCUUCCGCAAUGGGCGAAAGCCUGACGGAGCAACGCCGCGUGAGUGAUGAAGGUCUUCGGAUCGUAAAACUCUGUUAUUAGGGAAGAACAUAUGUGUAAGUAACUGUGCGCAUCUUGACGGUACCUAAUCAGAAAGCCACGGCUAACUACGUG